rnacentral:rRNA from 1 species
UGGGGAAUAUUGCACAAUGGGCGAAAGCCUGAUGCAGCGACGCCGCGUGAGGGAUGACGGCCUUCGGGUUGUAAACCUCUUUCAGCAGGGACGAAGCGCAAGUGACGGUACCUGCAGAAGAAGCACCGGCUAACUACGUGCCAGCAGCCGCGGUAAUACGUAGGGUGCAAGCGUUGUCCGGAAUUACUGGGCGUAAAGAGUUCGUAGGCGGUUUGUCGCGUCGUUUGUGAAAACCAGCAGCUCAACUGCUGGCUUGCAGGCGAUACGGGCAAACUUGAGUACUGCAGGGGAGACUGGAAUUCCUGGUGUAGCGGUGAAAUGCGCAGAUAUCAGGAGGAACACCGGUGGCGAAGGCGGGUCUCUGGGCAGUAACUGACGCUGAGGAACGAAAGCGUGGGUAGCGAACAGG